rnacentral:misc_RNA from 1 species
CCACGGCCAUCACAAAUUCCCCAACGGCGGUUUACCAGCUGCUUCACCCUUUAUAAAUGAACAGCCACCGCAAGUCCCCAGCUCAGCCCAGCCUCCGCACAACCAAACCCCGAGCACCAUGGUAAUCACUUUGCCUUACGCUCACGUCGACUGCAACCUGCGAGCCCUUGCAGGCCAAGCCGAGGGUUUCGGUCGCCAUGCCAUUGGAGGCGUCCGCGGACCCCUUUAUCAUGUCACUUCCUUAUUAGGUCACCUUCAUUCUCUCUUGCAUUUUGUCCUGAGUUAUGUAAUUUCGAAUUACUGAUGAUUUUCAGGAUUUUGUGAUUGAGUGUUUGAAUUGGUUCUUGAACUUCUGCGGAUUUUAGUUCUUAGUGCUUACUUUCUUGUUUUCUAUGGAAAUUAAUUCGUAGUUGACAUGUUUGUUCUAAUUAUGCCAUUAGACUAUUGGUGAUGUUGCUGUACUGUUCUUGGGCAGUUAAAGAAUCAUAAGCUUUGAGAAUGGUGAUAAAAUUUCGUUAUAUUAAGAAUUAAGCUUGAUGGUAGGUUGAGGUUAAAAUAAAGUACAUUCUGAUGAAUUAAAUAUUCAAACUUUGUUCAAAUUGUUGACUAAAUAUUAUAAUGAAAAAUAGUAUUUUGAGAAUUGCAGAUUUAAAUAAUGUUGAGUACUUUAUAUUGAAAUAAUCAUUCACACUUGGAGAAACACAUGUUAGUGUUUGUCUAAUAUGUGAAUAUUUUAUAUUUUUUAUGACACUGAAAGUAGCAGUUUUGGAGAUAUAUUUCUUUUUGAUAGUCAUUUGUUAAAGCAGAAAUCAAACUCACCGUUUCAGAAUUAUUUUUUUUAUUAUAAAAAUACAAUGUAUUCCUUGAGUGAACAUGCAUGUGCAUAAUUAUGAGUUUCAUUUUGUUGCAUAUGACAAAAGGUACCUCUUUUAAUAAUAUACUUUUUUUUUUCAUCACCUUCAAUGCAAAGUAUAUGAAUGUUACCAUUCUGAAACUCAUUGAAAUGCUAAGUCAGAGGAGACCAG